AUGGUGAACUUCACAGUAGUUCAGAUCCGUGCCAUCAUGGACAGGAAAGCCAACAUCCAGAACAUGUCAGUCAUCUCCAUGUGGACCACGGCAAGUCCACGCUGAACAACUCCCUUGUGUGCAAGGCUGGCAUCAUUGCCUCCGCCGGAGCUGGGGAGACACGUUUCACUGACACGCGCAAAGAUGAGCUGGAGCGCUGCAUCACAAUCAAGUCCACCGCCAUCUCCCUCUUCUAUGAGCUCUCUGAGAACGAUCUGAACCUCAUUAAGCAGAGCAAGGAUGGCUCGGGCUUCCUCAUCAACCUCAUUGACUCCCGGCCAUGUGGACUUCUCUUCAGAGGUGACAGCUGCCUUGCGUGUCACCGAUGGAGCUCUGGUGGUGGUGGACUGUGUGUUUGGCGUGUGUGUGUGUGUGUGUGCAGACAGAAACGGUUCUGCGCCAGGCCGUUGCUGAGCGCAUCAAGCCCAUGCUGAUGAUGAACAAGAUGGACCAGGCCCUGCUGGAGCUGCAGCUGGAACCCGAGGAGCUCUACCAGACCUUCCAGCGCAUCGUGGAAAACGUCAACGUCAUCAUCUCUACCGAUGGCGAGGGUGAGAGUGGGCCCAUGGGCAAUAUCAUGAUUGACCCCGUCCUGGGCGCUGUAGGCUUUGGUUCUGGCCUGCAUGGCUGGGCUUCACCCUGAAGCAGUUUGCGGAGAUGUACGUGGCCAAGUUUGCAGCCAAGGGCGAGGGCCAGCUGGGUGCAACUGAGCGUGCCAAGAAAGUAGAGGACAUGAUGAAGAAGCUGUGGGGAGACCAGUACUUUGAUCUGGCCUCAUGGAGCCUAUCUAUCUGGUGGAGAUCCAGUGUCCUGAGCAAGUGGUGGGUGGCAUCUAUGGUGUCCUGAACAGGAAGCGUGGCCAUAUAUCCCAGGUGGCCGGUACCCCCAUGUUUGUGGUCAAGGCAUACCUGCCUGUCAAUGAAUCCUUUGGCUUCACUGCUGAUCUGCGAUCCAACACCGGCGGCCAGGCCUUCCCCCAGUGUGAGUUUGACCACUGGCAGAUCCUGCCUGGGGAUCCUUUUGUCAACAGCAGCCGCCCCAGCCAAGUGGUAGCUGAGACCUGCAAGCACAAGGGCCUGAAAGAGGGCUGGACAACUUCCUGGACAAACUGUAGGCAGCCUGAUACUGCCACAUGUUGCACAGUGCCCGCCCAUCAGAAGACACCUUGAGACUGU
rnacentral:lncRNA from 1 species